ACAGGGGAUUGCCCUAGUAACGGCGAGUGAAGCGGCAACAGCUCAAAUUUGAAAUCUGGCUCUUUUAGAGUCCGAGUUGUACUUUGCAGAGGGCGCUUUGGCUUUGGCAGCGGUCCAAGUUCCUUGGAACAGGACGUCACAGAGGGUGAGAAUCCCGUACGUGGUCGCUGGCUAUUGCCGUGUAAAGCCCCUUCGACGAGUCGAGUUGUUUGGGAAUGCAGCUCUAAAUGGGAGGUACAUUUCUUCUAAAGCUAAAUAUUGGCCAGAGACCGAUAGCGCACAAGUAGAGUGAUCGAAAGAUGAAAAGCACUUUGGAAAGAGAGUCAAACAGCACGUGAAAUUGUUGAAAGGGAAGCGCUUGCAGCCAGACUUGCUUGCAGUUGCUCAUCCGGGCUUUUUUGCCCGGUGCACUCUUCUGUAGGCAGGCCAGCAUCAGUUUGGGCGGUAGGAUAAAGGUCUCUGUCACGUACCUCCUUUCGGGGAGGCCUUAUAGGGGAGGCGACAUACUACCAGCCUGGACUGAGGUCCGCGCAUCUGCUAGGAUGCUGGCGUAAUGGCUGUAAGCGGCCCGUCUUGAAACACGGACCAAGGAGUCUAACAUCUAUGCGAGUGUUUGGGUGUCAAGCCCGAGCGCGUAAUGAAAGUGAACGGAGGUGGGAACCCGCAAGGGUGCACCAUCGACCGAUCCUGAUGUCUUCGGAAGGAUUUGAGUAAGAGCAUGGCUGUUGGGACCCGAAAGAUGGUGAACUAUGCUUGAAUAGGGUGAAGCCAGAGGAAACUCUGGUGGAGGCUCGCAGCGGUUCUGACGUGCAAAUCGAUCGUCAAAUUUGGGCAUAGGGGCGAAAGACUAAU
rnacentral:rRNA from 1 species